rnacentral:miRNA from 1 species
AGGUGGAACUCUUGAUAGUCU